rnacentral:rRNA from 1 species
GGAGGAUCCAAGCGUUAUCCGGAGUCAUUGGGUUUAAAGGGUCCGUAGGCGGUUUGGUAAGUCAGUGGUGAAAGCCCAUCGCUCAACGGUGGAACGGCCAUUGAUACUGCCAGACUUGAAUUACUGGGAAGUAACUAGAAUAUGUAGUGUAGCGGUGAAAUGCUUAGAGAUUACAUGGAAUACCAAUUGCGAAGGCAGGUUACUACCGGUGGAUUGACGCUGAUGGACGAAAGCGUGGGUAGCGAACAGGAUUAGAUACCCUGGUAGUCCACGCCGUAAACGAUGGAUACUAGCUGUUGGGGGCAACUUCAGUGGCUAAGCGAAAGUGAUAAGUAUCCCACCUGGGGAGUACGUUCGCAAGAAUG